UACGAACCGUGCGAACGUUGUUCGGAAUCACUGGGCUUAAAGGGCGCGUAGGCGGGCGGCACAGUCAGGGGUGAAAGCUCCCGGCCCAACCGGGAAAGUGCCUUUGAUACUGGUCGCCUCGAGGGAGGUAGGGGCACGUGGAACUUCCGGUGGAGCGGUGAAAUGCGUAGAUAUCGGAAGGAACGCCGGUGGCGAAAGCGACGUGCUGAAUCUCUUCUGACGCUGAGGCGCGAAAGCCAGGGGAGCAAACAGG
rnacentral:misc_RNA from 1 species